rnacentral:lncRNA from 1 species
CGAGUGUGCUGCUGUGCGAGGGGGAUCCGCCGCGCCCUUGCUCUGUCCGUGCCGCCACCGCCGUCGCCGCCGCCGCCUCUGGUGGCCCCCACGCUCGCGCUGCUCCGGGUGCUCUCUGCCACCGCUGCCGAGGAAACUGACGGAGCAGGAGCGCGGCGGCGGGGCUCGGAGCUCGACCAGUCAGCUGAUCCGGCCCACCCCGCUAGGCACCCGAGAGAGACCCCUAGCGGCGCCGCCGGGGAGCUGCGCGCGCUCGGCCCGGCAGGGGCCCGCGCCCCGGUGCCCGCAGGUGCAGCGCCCCCGGCUCCUGCAGUCCCCCGAGCCACCCCGGCCGCCGGCCACCUGGGCUCCGCGAGCAGCAGGAGGGAGAGGCUGGGGCGAGGAGCGGGACGGUGCAGGCUCAGGGAAAGGAAGACUGGCCCUGAGCUAACAUCUACUUCAUACGUGGGACGCCUACCACAGCAGAAUGUGCACACUUAACCGCAGCGCCACCGGCCGGCCCCUGUUUUUUGUUCUUAAAGUCAUUGCCUUUCCCUGACUCUGAAGUGAGCAGCAAUAAACAACCUUUACUUCUGGUAUUGACA